UGCAUUCACUACUGUAAGUCACUCUGGAUAAAAGCGUCUGCUAAAUGACUAAAA
rfam:Salmo salar isolate Sally breed double haploid chromosome ssa13, whole genome shotgun sequence.